CCUACGGGUGGCAGCAGUGGGGAAUAUUGGACAAUGGGGGCAACCCUGAUCCAGCCAUGCCGCGUGUGUGAAGAAGGCCCUCGGGUUGUAAAGCACUUUCAGUGAGGAAGAACGCCUGGUGGUUAAUACCCAUCAGGAAAGACAUCACUCACAGAAGAAGCACCGGCUAACUCCGUGCCAGCAGUCGCGGUAAUACGGAGGGUGCGAGCGUUAAUCGGAAUUACUGGGCGUAAAGCGCGCGUAGGUGGCUUGAUAAGCCGGUUGUGAAAGCCCCGGGCUCAACCUGGGAACGGCAUCCGGAACUGUCAAGCUAGAGUGCAGGAGAGGAAGGUAGAAUUCCCGGUGUAGCGGUGAAAUGCGUAGAGAUCGGGAGGAAUACCAGUGGCGAAGGCGGCCUUCUGGACUGACACUGACACUGAGGUGCGAAAGCGUGGGUAGCAAACAGGAUUAGAUAGCCCAGUAGUC
rnacentral:rRNA from 1 species